rnacentral:rRNA from 1 species
GCCUACGGGGGGCAGCAGUGGGGAAUAUUGCACAAUGGGGGAAACCCUGAUGCAGCAACGCCGCGUGAGUGAAGAAGUAUUUCGGUAUGUAAAGCUCUAUCAGCAGGGAAGAAAAUGACAGUACCUGACUAAGAAGCCCCGGCUAACUACGUGCCAGCAGCCGCGGUAAUACGUAGGGGGCAAGCGUUAUCCGGAUUUACUGGGUGUAAAGGGAGCGUAGACGGCUGCGCAAGUCAGACGUGAAAGCCCGGGGCUCAACCGC